AGGUAUAGGAUCUGUCAAAUCAUCCAUACCUGCAGAGCCGUUCACCAUGCAGCUCGCUGAUGACUGACACAGGAUGGCUGUCACAUGGAGCCUAUUUUCUCCACUCACAAUAUGCAUGGCGAAGAAGACAACCAGAGCUGUAUACAUGGACUAAGGAGGGCCGGAGCACAGAUCCAGGAUCUAGACCUUUCUCCUCGAGGAGGGACGAGAGAUGUAUGUAAGCGGACUCACAGGCAGUGGACAAUGGUGCGUCCCUCUCCACACUCCAUCUGCCAGUUGUGGACCUGAGCCAAAAGGCUGAGGAAGGCUUUCUUGGAGUCGGGCACGUCGCGGUACGGGGACCAGCGCAGGAACUGGAAGUGACGAACCACCAGCUGACCUUCCUGAAGCUUUAGAGAGCAAGAGUUGAGGAAGAGGGAGGAAGAACCAGAGGGGAUUCUGUCAACACUUCAAACCGGCUUGAGUUCAACUGUGGAGCUCCUGUUCUCAACUUCUGAUUGGCUGUUAAAGUUUGCAGUGUAGCGGUGUACUGAGACCGACCACAGUAGAGUGAGACAUUAUAGAAAUGAAUGUAAACAGAGACUACCGUGCCAUCAGAAGUAUCAACACUGCAUUUUUAUGAAGUCAUAUUUACAUUUUUGUCCUUUUGUUUCAUCGUUCUUCUUCGUGUCAUUCUUUUAAUGUGUUUGUUAUUGUGAUUUUGAAAGCAAUGUUUCCAUAUUAAGCCUGUAUUAAUUCAUCUUUUGGCCAUGCUAAAUGCUC